UAACGACUCUCGGCAACGGAUAUCUCGGCUCUCGCAUCGAUGAAGAACGUAGCGAAAUGCGAUACUUGGUGUGAAUUGCAGAAUCCCGUGAACCAUCGAGUCUUUGAACGCAAGUUGCGCCCGAAGCCUUGGCUGAGGGCACGCCUGCCUGGGUGUCACACGU
rnacentral:rRNA from 1 species